rnacentral:tRNA from 1 species
UUAAUUGAAACCAAAUUAGAGGUUUAUCACUGUUAAUGAUAAUAUUGGGGAAUUCCCCCAAUUAAG